CAAAAGGUCCAUAGAUCCUAGU
rnacentral:siRNA from 1 species